rnacentral:rRNA from 1 species
GCAACCUACCCUUUACAGGAGGAUAGCUCGGGGAAACUCGAAUUAACCCUCCAUAAUAUCAUUGAAUGGCAUCAUUUGAUGAUUAAAACUCAGGUGGUAAAGGAUGGGCAUGCGUCUGAUUAGUUAGUUGGCGGGGUAACGGCCCACCAAGACGAUGAUCAGUAGGGGACCUGAGAGGGUGAUCC